GACGAACCGUGCGAACGUUAUUCGGAAUCACUGGGCUUAAAGCGCGUGUAGGCGGGGCGGCACGUCGGGCGCUGAAAGCCCUCGGCUCAACCGGGGAACGGGCGCCGAUACGACCGCCCUGGAGGGACGUAGGGGGGCCUGGAACUUCCGGUGGAGCGGUGAAAUGCGUAGAUAUCGUUUGGAACGCCAAUGGUGAAAACAGGUCGCUGGGGAUGAGCUGACGCUGAGACACGAAAGCCAGGGGAGCAAACGGG
rnacentral:rRNA from 1 species